UACGUAGGGUGCGAGCGUUGUCCGGAAUUAUUGGGCGUAAAGCGCUCGUAGGCGGUUUGUUGCGUCUAUCGUGAAAACCUGCAGCUUAACUGUGGGCUUGCGGUGGAUACGGGCAGACUUGAGUUCGGUAGGGGAGACUGGAAUUCCUGGUGUAGCGGUGAAAUGCGCAGAGAUCAGGAGGAACACCGGUGGCGAAGGCGGGUCUCUGGGCCGAUACUGACGCUGAGGAGCGAAAGCUAGGGGAGCGAACGGG
rnacentral:rRNA from 1 species